rnacentral:ncRNA from 1 species
CCGUCGGUGCUUCGUAACAGAAGGUAAAAGGGAACCGGGUGAAAAUCCCGGACAGCCCCCGCUACUGUAAGGCGCUUAUGUCAGGACCGGUAUGCCAUUCCCGCUAUCAGGGGAGAAGGCGGACUUGACCAAACGGCACCAAGCCAGGAAACCUGCCGAUGAGUCUUU